rnacentral:lncRNA from 1 species
CCAACUUCAAAUGCAUAUAUUCCAUUUCCGCCAUAAAAUUCAAGAAGCAAAGUAACAAAAUGUAAACAUCCACACAAAAGAGUAAGAGAGUGAUUAAAUUGUGUCUCAAAUUUAAUUUAAAAAUCCACCACAAACAAUUGCAGUGACAUUGUAUACAUAACAAAUUGUUAACUAAAUUAAAAUAAAAAUGACAGAAACAAGUGUUGUUAACUCUGUGACACAGACAUCUGACCAUGUCUUUCCAUAACUCUUCUAGUAGCAAGUGCUGCAGCUUCACUAGCACGCAUUGUCCCAGUUGCCAUUAUUGCAGCAAACUCUUUGAUUAUCUCAUCUUGAACCUUGCUCCUUGCAUCACCUAAAGGAUCCUUUACAACACCAUUUGAUGCUGCUGCUGCUUUUUCAGAAGCUGACACUGCAUUUUCUGUCUUCUUAUCUUCUUCUUUGCCUUUUGCUACUUCCUUACUGGGAAUAGCCUUUUUCUCUGUGGAUGAGUUAGGUGCAGUUGAACUCUUUUGGGUGGUGACUGAGGCAAAAUUUGAAGCAGGACUCACUGUGGUAGGCCUGAAUUGUGGUACUUGUGGAACUCCGCCGGAUUUUAAUGUUGUCUCUAAAUUCUGAAUCAUUGGCACUAAAAGAGAACCCAUUGGGCUGCUCAUAACUUCAUUAGGGAGCUGAAGAAUAUAAUCAGGAAUCGUAGCACCAACCAAAAAUUGAGCAACUUCGUUGCUGAAGUUGUUGCAGUUGUGAGUAAGCAAACUAUAGGUUUCAGGCAAGUACCGCGGAUUGAUUUCCUGCAAAUACAUUUCAAACACGUCCUUUGGAACAUGAGUAACUCCUAACUCUACCACUUUGAGUGGAGUUCCGUAUGGUGUUGAUCCAGCAGGC